rnacentral:rRNA from 1 species
AACGUAGGUCCCGAGCGUUAUCCGGAUUACUGGGCGUAAAGAGCGCGCAGGCGGUCGUUCAAGUCGAGUGUGAAAGCCCCCGGCUCAACUGGGGAGGGUCAUUCGAUACUGAUCGACUCGAAGGCAGGAGAGGGUAGUGGAAUUCCCGGUGUAGUGGUGAAAUGCGUAGAUAUCUGGAGGAACACCGGUGGCGAAGGCGGCAUCCUGGACCAACACUGACGCUGAGGAGCGGAAAGCCAGGGGGAGCAA